AGAGUUUGAUCAUGGCUCAGAUUGAACGCUGGCGGCAUGCUUUACACAUGCAAGUCGAACGGUAACAGGCCGCAAGGUGCUGACGAGUGGCGAACGGGUGAGUAAUGCAUCGGAACGUGCCCAGUCGUGGGGGAUAACGCAGCGAAAGCUGCGCUAAUACCGCAUACGAUCUAUGGAUGAAAGCGGGGGACCGUAAGGCCUCGCGCGAUUGGAGCGGCCGAUGUCAGAUUAGGUAGUUGGUGGGGUAAAGGCUCACCAAGCCAACGAUCUGUAGCUGGUCUGAGAGGACGACCAGCCACACUGGGACUGAGACACGGCCCAGACUCCUACGGGAGGCAGCAGUGGGGAAUUUUGGACAAUGGGCGCAAGCCUGAUCCAGCAAUGCCGCGUGCAGGAAGAAGGCCUUCGGGUUGUAAACUGCUUUUGUACGGAACGAAACGGUCUGGGUUAAUACCCUGGGCUAAUGACGGUACCGUAAGAAUAAGCACCGGCUAACUACGUGCCAGCAGCCGCGGUAAUACGUAGGGUGCAAGCGUUAAUCGGAAUUACUGGGCGUAAAGCGUGCGCAGGCGGUUUUGUAAGACAGGCGUGAAAUCCCCGGGCUCAACCUGGGAAUGGCGCUUGUGACUGCAAAGCUGGAGUGCGGCAGAGGGGGAUGGAAUUCCGCGUGUAGCAGUGAAAUGCGUAGAUAUGCGGAGGA
rnacentral:rRNA from 1 species